AGUGUCACCCUCCACUUUUAUUUACUAAAGCCCUAUAAUUUAUUACAUAUUAUUACAUGACAAAUGAAUAAGAUAAAACAUAAAAUUACAUCAGAAUUUUAAGCUGCAUCCAAUGAGCCUAAUUCAGACUCAAUAUCUAACAAUAUGAAAUGAACCAACUUUCGGGAUCAGGUUCCAAGUUCUUUCUCUUAUCUGGAGUGUGUCAAAGUUCCAAGAAGUUUGAAGAACUCCAGGUAAUGCUUACACCCAGAUAUCAUUACAGAACAGAAUUAAAGUACAGUGUGGAAGGGCCAGCCCUCCAAUGCCCAAGUUCAGAGGAAACUCAAGGUCCCAAGGCAAGGCUCAUUGGAGGGGGGCAGAACUUAGGGUCUAGGAACAAGUGUAAGUGCAGUAGAGGGGAAAUGUCAAGAUGGUGGUCAUGCCAAGCAUUUUUGGGGUGCUAGCACACCCCUGACCAGCGUGUCAUUUUCUAAUUGAGGAGUUAGGACCUGUUGCAAGUCGGGUUCAGACCUGGACAACCAUUUGAAGGCUUCCAGACCUUAAACUUUAACUCAACAUACAUAGGGGAAUAGGGAUAUGGAAUUCAUAAUAAUAGCAGAAUACAAAAUAAAGAGUACGAAAAAGGCAUGUUCAGCAAUGAAGCAUACUGGUACACCCCUCAACUUACUUGGGGUCAAAAUUCAAUUCAUGGCCAACAAUUCAUAUUUCCAGGACCUGAAUCCCCACUCAUAGACAUGUAGAGGGUAAUGUGAUAGGGGAGCAAAUGUUUACAAGAAAAUAAAGCAAGCAGUAGCACAUAAGCAUUACAAGGUCAUGUUCUGCAAGAAAUAGACAUGGAUAUAAAGAUUACAUGUAAACACAUUGGGAUGAUGCUGGUAAUUGAAUAAAGACAUAACAGUUUUUAAAAGAGACAAAGAAAGCAGUAGUCUUGUGAAAGACAAAGUGCAGACAAGAAAGUUCAGAAGAGUUUGUGAGAAUUGUAAGUUUGAAGUCUGAAGUGUAUUCAGUUGUGUAUUGAAAGUGUGUUUGUUAAAAAGAGUUCGUGCUUUUUAUAGUCUAGAAGGCAAGCAAAAAUAAGGCAAGAGAAUAGUUUGAAAAUCAAUUGUUGAUCAUUACACAAGGUUUCCUUUAAUUAAGGGAUUCUGAUUGCAAACGGUAAAACUAAUUACGGAAAUCAAACAUUUUGUGUAAGGUAGUAUAAUAGGGGUAAAUACAUAAAGGUCUAUAUAAGGACAAAGUCUUGACAAUACACGGUUUGUGCAAAUAAGGUAAAGGAAUCAGUUAACAACCGGAAAUUCAGAAGUCAAAGAUUUUAUAUGAAUGAACCCAGUCAGAAAAGGUGAAGAAAAGGUUUUACUUGAGGAAAGUCAGUAACAAUCAAUUAAAAUUAAAAAAGAGAUUCUAAUUUAAUCGCAAGUUUGAAAAAAAUUUAAAGAAGGGUUGAACACACAUAUAAAGUAUACAUGCAUGCUUAAACACGAAGGAAUUCAUCAUGCUAUUCAACAAAAGAUUCUAGUGUAGGAGAAUCAGAAUUGUGUGCAAACACAGAAGUUCGAACCUAGUUCAGAGACUAGGGACUUAGUCUGAAAGAGUCAAGUGUUCUAUAAACCCUAGUUUAAUCACAGGAUUAAACCUUGGCCCAAAAUUCAAGGGUUUCCGCCUCUAUAAAAUACAGAGACGAAGAGGCAAGUAGUUGAAACAGGCUCAGAGAUAUCAUUCAGAGACUCAUGAGAAAACAAACAAGUACAGUAGAAGGUUCAAAGCAAACAGAGUGAAGAAACUGAUUCGAAGCAUAGUGAGAGAAGAAGAAAUAGUAGAAGAAAAUAUGCUUUCACCAGGUCUUUUAGAAAAACUUAAAAUAGGUAAAGAAGAGGAGAAAAUAGCGAACACUUAAGCACACGGUAGAAGGAUACAACAGGAAAAGCAUAUCAGAAAAAUAGCAGGACAUAGUGGGAAAGCAUGUGAGAACAUAGCAUAGAAAACACAGUAGAAAAAAAGAGCGGAACAUAGUAGAAGAAUAUUCGUGAAAACAUAAGAACACAGUAGAAGAACAUGCGUGGUAGGAAAGAAAGCAUAAGAAUAUAGUACAGACAAAUACACACAAUGGAAAGGAGAAGAAAAGUCAGAGAAACAUUUGGAAAAUUUCCAGAAAACCCUAAAUUAACUUUUGAAAGUAAUUUUGAAAGAAAAGUUUGGAAAAUCAUUCAAAAACUCAAAUAGAGCAUGGAUACACAACAGAUCUAAGAAAAUUGAAAAAAGAACCUGGAAUAGUUAGGAUUUCAGAAGAACCCUAAAGUGAGAAGGGCUUGGAAAAGGUCCGAUCAAAGUCGGAUGAGGUUAGAAACAGGCUCAGAAGACCAAGAGCCAGCAGAUCAAGGCCGAAGAUGGACGGAAUCAUCGAAUCGAUUAAGGUCUGAGUGAAGACCUUCGAAGUUUAUCUUCGAUCCUUCAAGCAUCAAGCAUGUAGGAGCAGUAGGAGAUGAGUAUAGGCUAUCCAUGGCCUGAGAAGCCAUGGAUUCCGGUGAGUUUAAGGGUGGAGAUGGUAGAAGGAGGCUAGUGUUUCAGAGGGAAUUGAGAGAGAACUGAGGGAGAAGGGAUUCCGAG
rnacentral:lncRNA from 1 species